rnacentral:rRNA from 1 species
UACGUAGGGGCGAGCGUUGUCCGGAUUUACUGGGCGUAAAGGGUGAGUAGGCGGUUGUAUAUGUCAGGUGUAAAAGGCUAUGGCUUAACCAUGGUUAGCACUUGAAACUGUACAACUUGAGUGCAGGAGAGGUAAGUGGAAUUCCUAGUGUAGCGGUGAAAUGCGUAGAUAUUAGGAGGAACACCAGUGGCGAAGGCGACUUACUGGACUGUAACUGACGCUGAGUCACGAAAGCGUGGGUAGCAAACAGGAUUAGAUACCCGGGUAGUCCCUGAG